rnacentral:tRNA from 1 species
GCCCGCUCAGGGGGAGCGCCGGCCGGUCAAGCCGGAGGUCGCCGGUUCGAAACCGGUAAGGGGCGCCA